rnacentral:lncRNA from 1 species
AUGGGUUGUUGCUUCCGCAAAGAACUAAGUGGUGACAAUGACAGUGAAAAAACUGGCCUGUUACAAAAAUCAGUGGAGGAGAAGGAACCGGAGAGCAAGAUAAGUACAACUUUAUCUUCAUUAUUCAGUGCCUUUGGAGAUGAGGAGCUUCCCGGUGGUGGACGCAGGGCCAGCUUGUGGGCUGGGGUUUUGGCAAGGCUGGCACACAGACAGGGCCCAGCGCCUGGGCAGUUGCUGGACUCCUCUCCCGUGUCUGGGCUCUUUACUGGGUCUGGACAUGUAGGUGAGGCUGACGGGAACCCUGACGUCACUGCUGUGGGGCAUGGUGGUGAAGGUGCCCAGGGCCCUCCGUGUGGGGGCCUUCCUGCUGGUGAGGGGCCCUGCUCUCCAGCCCUGGCGCCCUCUGACCAGGGCCUUGGCCACCACCCUCCCUGCCUCUGCCCAGCCACCUGGGAAAGCUCCGAGGUGGGGAACAAGGUGCUAGUCACUGUUCAUAUUGGUAGUGCUGCUGACUCCUCAGAUCUGAGUGGUGAGGAGAGGGCAGGUGGAGGUCUUGUUUGUGGUGACUGCAAACGGUAUAGGAAUUCCCGAGAGAGCAGGUUUUACAGUAUUUGUGCUGUUGAUCCUGACGGCCCAGAAGGUGGAGAUGAGCUGUGUGGUCAUGUGUGUGAAACAGCUACAGCUCCCCAGAGCUGUCCAGCUGUCACCUCCGAGGGGGCCCACAGAGGGGCCCAGCUGCCAGACAGUGCUGGUCAUGGGCCUGGGGGGUCGGAGGCCCCUGGGGCAAAGUUGCCCCUGCAGGGCAGGCCACUCCCAAGGGAGAGAGAGUGGGCUCUCGGUGAGAAAGCUCAACCUACCUCUGCCCUGGUGAGUGACAGUGACCCACCCUGUGCCACAGACGUUGGUGCCUUGCUGGCACAGACCUUCGCCAGCUUCCCCGAAGCUGACACAGAAAGGAGCACAUUCCGUAAUGUGGGCACACUCCCCACCUUAAACAUCCACCCAGAUGCUGACUACCUAGUGAGUGCACGCACCAUCCCUGAAGGGAGAUUGCGUGGCAGUUCACAGCCUGGGGGUCUGGUGACUGAUUCACAGAGUACUGUAAUCAGUGGCGCUUCACAUGUUGAGAGAGAUGGUGAUUGUGGGACCGUAACAGCUCAUGCAGAUCAGAGUUUAAACUCUGGGAGGGAAGGAGCAAGUAACUCUGCAAAAGCACUGAAAGGCAGCGAUUAUUCCAGUUUAGAUGUUAGUAGAUCAAACUGCAGAAUCCUUUCCGUAAGUCGAGAUAGAAUCAGUUUAAGUUCAGGAAGAUGUAUCCCUUCAGGGACCUUUAGAUUUCUUCCCACUCAUGCGAAUUUCCAAGAGCCAGCCCCUCACAGAGGUGACGGCCCAGGGCCCUUGGUGCUUGAGGAGCAGCGCCCUGGAGACUGCACUAUGGAAACUGGACGUGGCCCGGAUGCAGACAGGGCCGGCUUGUCUUUGCCAUCUCGGAACCAUCCAUCUUAUCAGGAUGAGGGUGACAGCGUUUUGAAAGAUGAUGCUUGUGGGAAGAGGGCUUCUGAGUGGAGAGCUGCCGCCCAGGUGGACCUGAGUGUGAACACCAGGGCCAGCAAGGCCUGGGCCCAGGGCCGCAACAUGGUGUGUGCAGUACCGGCAGCAGCCGGGCCAGGGAUGUCCCGAAACUCGCAGGGAGCACCUCCACGCAGCAAGUCCCUCCUCGGUUCCAGGUGGCCUGCAAGUGACCUCAUUUCCUCUGCAGAUGUUUUCACCUGCGCCGAAGAGGAGAGUGAAAGAGAGGGUGAGAUGUGUGUGAAGAGCUCAGGGAAGGACCCUCACAGACCAGAGAGUGCUGAGCAGGAACCCCUGAGAGCCAGUCACAGGGACACCGGGACAGCUGCCACAGAGAGGGUCCAGGGAGACCCCCGAACAGCCUUUGACUGGGAAGCAAACGCACAGAAAUGCACGGCAGUGCCCAGUCAGGGUGUGCUUGCUUGUGUCAGUUCUUGUGAAGCAAAGAAUUCUGACUUUGAGACAGCUCACACAGGAAGGAACAAUACCUACCGAGUGAAUGACGGCAGCCGUGAGGAUCUCAGCCUUGCACCACCUGUAAGCCAGAGUUCGGCCCCAGGCGCGCAGGACUCAGAAGGCCUGCGGGUGAGCCCUGUGCACAGUGGUGGCAGCCUUCUGCUGAAGCAGGUUCUCUCCCAGUCAACCGGAGACACUCCUGAGGCCUCUGGUGGGUGCGCAUCAGGGCUGAGAGAACCAGAGCUGACGGGUGGAGAGGAGGAGGAGGCGCUCCGUCUGCAGGAAGGCGGUGGCGGCCCCGGCACUGCCAGCCACGCAGGCCUGUGUGGGACAAGUGCACACGCAUGCCCUUUCAGCCAGAGGAGCGCCAGGUCCACGGCACAGGGACCUGCCUUACAAGGGGACAAGGGCUUGGUGGUCUCUGAAAGAGUGGAGUUAGGGAGUUUUCGUGCAGGGUGCUCCUGCAUGACUGGUGUUUACCCUGCCCAAGUGGACGGGCCGCAGGGGAUUCCUGUUGUCCCAUAUGACAGCAGGGAGGUGGCUGUCCCAGAUUGUGAGUACCCUGCCCUGUCGCUUGUGUCUGAAGAGCUGUCUGAGGGGGAUUUGCGGAGCCCCCCAGGGCAUCAGCACCUCCAGUUUCUGAGUGCACUUUCUUGCUACCCGAUGGCGGAGCUGGCAAGUCAGGUGUUUUCUGAGGGUCCAGCAGAUGGUUGCAGAUAUCAAGUGGGCUGUCCAUGGACUGAUACAGUCAUGAAAGAUACCUUAGAAGAUGAGCAGAUCUUUAGUGAGGACCUGCACUGUAAGCCCCAGGACCUGGAGAUGUCUUUGUUUUGGAUGGAAAAGCCUCCUUUUCAGCUACCAGUGGCAGAAGAUGCUGUCAUUUGGGGAUGGCGAGAGACAGGUGCACACUUAGUACCAACAGCCAAGGUUUCGGAGCUAAACCCUAAUGCAAAAGUAUGGGGCACUCCACUGUUACAGCUGGAAGCGCGUGGAGCUGCAGACGGCGGUGUGAGCACAGUCUGGGAGGCGUCCCCUGGCCGCGGCCAUCUCGGAUUGGACACCAACGGUGACGGUGACAAAAGUCAUGACAGUGUUGGGCUGUCAGAUCCGCAGGAGUCAGACCAGACAGCCAUGAGCACGCUGGGUCCGGACCACUCAGAGUAUGAGUCACUGCCUGAAAGCAGUGAGACAGGAGGGAAUGAAUCUCAACCAGAAAGCCAGGAAGACCCCCGGGAAGUACUUAAAAAGACAUUGGAAUUCUGCUUGUCUAGGGAGAACCUUGCUAGUGACAUGUACCUUAUAUCACAGAUGGACAGUGACCAGUACGUGCCAAUCACCACAGUAGCUAACCUGGACCACAUCAAGAAGCUCAGCACCGACAUGGACCUGAUUGUUGAGGUGCUGAGAUCUUUACCUUUAGUCCAAGUGGAUGAGAAGGGAGAGAAAGUAAGGCCAAAUCAGAACCGUUGCAUAGUGAUACUACGUGAGAUACCUGAGUCCACCCCUGUAGAAGAAGUAGAAGCACUAUUUAAAGGAGAUAACUUACCGAGAUUUAUAAACUGUGAAUUUGCCUAUAAUGAUAAUUGGUUUAUUACAUUUGAAACAGAAGCUGAUGCACAACAGGCUUACAAGUAUCUGAGAGAAGAAGUCAAAACCUUUCAAGGAAAACCAAUUAAGGCACGGAUAAAGGCGAAGGCAAUAGCUAUAAACACGUUUUUGCCAAAGAAUGGCUUUAGGCCUCUGGACAUGAGCCUCUACACCCAGCAGCGCUACACGGCGUCGUUUUACUUACCUCCAGUCUAUAGUCCCCAGCAGCAGUUCCCUCUGUACAGCCUGAUAGCCCCCCAGACGUGGUCAGCGACACACAGCUAUCUUGACCCGCCCUUGGUAACGCCAUUUCCAAAUACUGGAUUUAUAAAUGGGUUCACGUCUCCAACCUUCAAACCUGCCGCAUCUCCUCUGGCUUCACUCAGACAGUACCCUCCGAGGAGCAGGAAUCCUAGUAAGUCUCACUUGCGCCAUGCCAUCCCCAGUGCAGAGAGGGGUCCCGGGCUGCUGGAAAGUCCUUCCAUAUUUAACUUCACUGCUGAUCGCUUGAUGAACGGUGUGCGCAGCCCACAAGUGAGGCAGACAGCACAGCCACGAGCUCGGCUCCAGAACCCUCCGGCCUUUGCCAAGAGAGACGUGGGGCCUGGGCGCGUGGAGCAGAGCAGCUUCGAGUCCUCCCCGGGCUUAGGCAGAGGGAGGAAGAGCUCCUUUGGUUAUCGGAAGAAGCGGGAGGAGAAGUUCACAAGGAGUCAGACUCAGUCUCCAACGCCGCCCAGACCGCCGUCCCCCAGCUUCGAAUUAGGCCUGUCCAGCUUCCCCCCACUGCCUGGGGCAGCAGGGCAUUUGAAGACAGAGGACUUGUUUGAGAACAGGCUGUCUGGCUUGCUCGCAGGAACAUCCAAAGAAAGGAGCCUGAACGCAGAUGCCAGCACGAACACUCUUCCUGCCGUGCACCCGCGAGAGCCCUUGGCGCCCUGUGCCACGUCCGUAGCCUGCGAGCGCACCCCCUCCCCUGCCCGCCCGCCCGAGGACGCCAAGGUGGUGGAGAAGCAGAGGGAAACCCCGAGUGUGGACAGACCGCCUCCUGCCCUGGCCCUGAGCACCACUGCAAGUAAAUCGGUGCAGGUGAACGGUGCCGCCUCGGAAUUGCGAAAACCCAGCUACGCAGAGAUUUGUCAGAGGACAAGUAGAGAGCCACCGUCUUCCCCGUUGCAACCCCAGAAAGAACAGAAGCCAAACCCGGUCGGCUGUGGGAAGGAAGAGAGGAAGGUCAUGGAGAGAGACCCCCCUGCCCCCAAAUCCAGCCCAGGACCACCCAAAGACCAGAGGAGGCCGCUGGGCCGCCGGCCGUCACCCCCGGGCUUGGGGCGGCGUCCGCACAGAGAACAGAGCCCCCCACCCAGGCCCCCUCAGUGAGCACCGAGGUCUGGGAGGGCUGCGAGGAGCUGAGGUCGCCACAACUAGGCACUAUCCUGCUCGGACGUGAGUGAGCCGCUGGCUAGGAGCUUGCAGUGUAGAUGAGGCCCACAAGGUGCCUGCAAGUUAUUUUUCUUCUAUGAGUCGGAUUUCCCCCCUCUUGAAAAAAAUCUAUUUUUCAGGAUUUAAUUAAUAUAAACCUUAUUUUAGGUUGGUGCUUAACUGGAGGUGAUGCAUAAGUCUGAUUUUUUUCAGGAUAGAAAAUGCAUUUAUCCUAACAAAUUGAUAUUUUUUAUUAAGCCUCCAUGUGGCUAUGAAUGCAAGCUAUAUAUAUAGUGAGUUUUUCUAAAUUAAGCGGAACUAUGCUACUUCAUUUUUUAAAAUAACUGGUUAGCAAGUGCGUAUCUCUAAGAUGUCCAGGCCGCCGGGUGAAGCUGAGGACCGAGGGAGGAGGACUGAGGUGAUGCUGUGAGCACAGCUUGGGAGAGCGGGUGGGGCUCGCCAGCCUGGGAGCUGCCCUUCGCUCAGAAACCUAACAGGUGGUUCUAGCAUUUUCUAAGCAGAGUCCGGUUUUGGUCCACUGGGCAGAGUAAGCCUGCACAGCCCCGAGAGCCCUCUUGUCCUGCCAGCAAGUAACCAGCUCCUCACUCUAGUCUCAAGUGGUUGUUAUGUAAGACAAACUCAAAGCACAUUGUGAAUAGAACUCAAAUGAAAUAUAAACUUUGUAAGCCCACUGACAUGUUACCGCAAAAUUGUACCCUGACGUUUUGCUCCCGCGAGUGGGUGGGGAGGGUGUGGAGCCCGCCUCACAGUCGGCCUUCCUGCCCCCCGCUCCCCCCCCACUCCCCAGGCCUCCGGGGUCCUCCCGGCUCCCCUCUAGAUCCUCCCGGCCCCCGCGCGGAUCAUGGGGGAGGCGGUUGUGGUGCCCUCUGGUGGCGGAGGGUUCCAGCCCACUCUCCUUACCUCCAAGACAGGGUCAAUGAUCCCUUCUCCAAGUGCUGCUCUCCAAGAACACGCAUGCACUAGCUAGCAGUUGAUAAUAAAGUUUAACAUAAAUUAUUUUGUUUUAAAAUG